AAGGGUUCUACAUCACCACUCAGAUGCUGAUAGGCUAUUGCCUAAAUGUACCAUGGAGGAGAAGGAAGAUACAGGAAGAUUUCCAGUUAGAGAAUUACUUGUUUAAGCCUCUGAAUGCAUCCUGAUGAUGGCUUUUGUGAGCUAUUACUUGAUGGGGGCAAAAAUAUUUCAAAUUUUGGAGACAGACAUUCAUGAAGUGCUGAAAAAUUCCAUUUGAGAAGCCAAAGCAGCUUUAAUGGCAAACUAUGCCGACAUAACUACAGAAGUUGAAAUCUUUACAGAGACAAGUAAAAAUUUACAGACUCUUCUUCUUCUCGGUAACUGGACUUCUCAUUUUCAUCCUGCUACCAUCAUUAACUUUUGUGCUUACAGUGGGCUGGACUUAUAAGGAUUAUAUUUUGCAUUCACCUUAAGCAUCAUUGGGUUUGGUAACUAUGUAUUAGAUUUUAUUAUCCGAGGAGGAAUGCUCCCUUCUAGAGGACAAGAAUGGUUCCACUAAACUGGAAGUAGAGACAGUCAUCUGAUGCUUUUGAGGUCCACAUUUCACUGAGGCUUUGUGGAAACAUUCUGCAGUCCUGAUGAAUGAAAACUAUUACAAGUAUUGUAUUCCAAGCUCUGGCUUCUUUUUUCUUCUACACCCUCUGUUUCAGAUGUGUUCUUACUUAGUUUGUUUCCAUUUUUUGCAAGAAGCUGGUUAUUAUAUUAAAUAGAAGAGCAAUCCAGGAAAACCAUGGAGAAUCCAAAUUGAUAUUAAGAACCCCAUGGGGAAGAGGUCAAGAUUCUUCGCUUGCAGUAGACAGUUUCCUUGCAUUAGUUGUGAGGCAAAAUCUGUUGGCCAUGAAGGACCCUUGCUUGCCAUUUAAGCUGAUAUUUUUCUGCCUGUUCUUUACGUAAGUAAAGCAUUGCUCCAUCCAA